rnacentral:rRNA from 1 species
UACGUAGGUGGCGAGCGUUAUCCGGAAUGAUUGGGCGUAAAGGGUGCGUAGGCGGCCUGCUAAGUCUGGAGUGAAAGGUACCGGCUCAACCGGUACAGUCUCUGGAAACUGGCGGGCUAGAGAGCAGGAGAGGGCGGUGGAACUCCAUGUGUAGCGGUAAAAUGCGUAGAUAUAUGGAAGAACACCAGUGGCGAAGGCGGCUCACUGGACUGUAACUGACGUUGAGGCUCGAAAGCGUGGGGAGCAAACAGG